rnacentral:ncRNA from 1 species
UUCUAAGUGAGCUCAGGGAGGAUAGAAACCUCCUGUGGAGUAGAAGGGCAAAAGCUCGCUUGACCUUGAUUUUUAGUACAAAUACAGACUGUGAAAGCAGG